rnacentral:rRNA from 1 species
UCGGGAAUUUUGGGCAAUGGGCGAAAGCCUGACCCAGCAACGCCGCGUGAAGGAUGAAGUAUUUCGGUAUAUAAACUUCGAAAGAAUAGGAAGAAUAAAUUACGGUACUAUUUAUAAGGUCCGGCUAACUACGUGCCAGCAGCCGCGGUAAUACGUAGGGACCAAGCGUUGUUCGGAUUUACUGGGCGUAAAGGGCGCGUAGGCGGCAAUUCAAGUCAUCUGUGAAAUCUCCGGGCUUAACUCGGAACGGUCAGAUGAUACUGCUUUGCUAGAGUGCAGAAGGGGCAAUCGGAAUUCUUGGUGUAGCGGUGAAAUGCGUAGAUAUCAAGAGGAACACCUGAGGUGAAGACGGGUUGCUGGGCUGACACUGACGCUGAGGCGCGAAAGCCAGGGGAGCAAACGGGAUUAGAUACCCACGUAGUCCCUGAGCGGGCUGGCAAGGCGCAU